UGGGUCUCUGCGAGGUGGUAUUUAAGCGCCUCGCUGUGCACUUCAGGUCUCGUUUUUCUGCUCCUCUCGGUUUCAGGCGCGCGUUUGAACGCUGAAGAGCCGGAAAUAGUCCCCUUGUUGGAAUACGGUUCAGUUCAAAAGAGCUUACAGGUGGGAGGAUGGCACAGGACCCGGCCCCAUGCAGCUCGGUGAUAACAGUGGGUGUGCUCCAGCAUCAUCGCCUCAUCAAUCCUGAGGAAUUCAGCUGCUUCCCAAGGUGACUGCAGGUUGUCCUGAUGAUAUAUAUUCACCUAUCUUAAUGAUGCCCACUGAUCUGUCCAGGGUUGAACUCUUGGGAAGAGUUGGAAGCGGAGCAGCUGGAUCCUGUGCACUACUGGAAAGCCUCCAAGGUUAAAAAAGGCACUGUUACCAGUAAUCUGCUUAUCUACUCAAAGGUGCAGCAACUCCUUGGAGCCGAAGAAUGAUUUGAGGGAAUGUGUAAGCCAUAUCUCUGCUCAACUUCAUGCUGAAGUUAGAGGUCUAAAAGAACAAAUGUAUAUAAUGGAUGCCAACACUUCCAAAACAUCAAAAAAACGAAUUUUCAAGGAAUUUCUUGUAUACUCUGGCUGUUCAAAUUUACACAUAAUCAUCUCGGUCUUUAUAAAUAAAAGAUUUAAACUUUAUUGUGA